CAAUUGGCUUCUAAUUAGAGUCUGGAAUGAAAGGAAGCAUGAAAUAAUUCUGUCUUAAAAGAAAUUUUUUGAAUUUAUUUAAAUGAUGAAAAUAUCAUUUUUUAGAAAAAAGACGAGAAGACCCUUAGAGUUUUAACUAAUUUUAGUUUUUGUUGGGGCGACAAGUAAACAAUUAAACUUUAGUAAUUAAUUUGAAUAUAUCGAUUUUUUUUAAAAAUAAUUAAACUACCUUAGGGAUAACAGCAUUAUUUUUUAAAAUGAUUG
rnacentral:rRNA from 1 species